CCUACGGGAGGCAGCAGUGGGGGAUAUUGCACAAUGGGGGAAACCCUGAUGCAGCGACGCCGCGUGGGUGAAGAAGCGCCUAGGCGCGUAAAGCUCUGGCAGCAGGGAAGAAAAUGACGGUACCUGUAGAAGAAGCUCCGGCUAACUACGUGCCAGCAGCCGCGGUAAUACGUAGGGGGCAAGCGUUAUCCGGAUUUAGCGGGUUUAAAGGGGGCGCAGGCGGCGAUGCAAGCCAGGAGUGAAAGCCUGGGGCCCAACCCCGGGACUGCUCUUGGAACUGCGUGGCUAGAGUGCAGGAGGGGCAGGCGGAAUUCCUGGUGUAGCGGUGAAAUGCGUAGAUAUCACGAGGAACACCGGUGGCGAAGGUGGCCUGCUGGACUGCAACUGACGUUGAGGCCCGAAAGCGUGGGGAGCAAACAGGAUUAGAUACCCGGGUAGUC
rnacentral:rRNA from 1 species